rnacentral:tRNA from 1 species
GGAGUCUUAGCUCAGCUGGUUAGAGCACCCGGCUCAUAUCCGGACGGCCCUGGGUUCGAACCCCAGAGACUCCA